GAUGAACGCUGGCGGCGUGCCUAAUACAUGCAAGUCGAGCGAACAGACGAGGAGCUUGCUCCUCUGAUGUUAGCGGCGGACGGGUGAGUAACACGUGUAUAACCUACCUAUAAGACUGGGAUAACUUCGGGAAACCGGAGCUAAUACCGGAUAACAUGUUGAACCGCAUGGUUCAACAGUGAAAGACGGUCUUGCUGUCACUUAUAGAUGGAUCCGCGCCGCAUUAGCUAGUUGGUAAGGUAACGGCUUACCAAGGCAACGAUGCGUAGCCGACCUGAGAGGGUGAUCGGCCACACUGGAACUGAGACACGGUCCAGACUCCUACGGGAGGCAGCAGUAGGGAAUCUUCCGCAAUGGGCGAAAGCCUGACGGAGCAACGCCGCGUGAGUGAAGAAGGUCUUCGGAUCGUAAAACUCUGUUAUUAGGGAAGAACAAAUGUGUAAGUAACUAUGCACGUCUUGACGGUACCUAAUCAGAAAGCCACGGCUAACUACGUG
rnacentral:rRNA from 1 species